rnacentral:rRNA from 1 species
UACGUAGGUGGCAAGCGUUGUCCGGAUUUAUUGGGUUUAAAGGGUGCGUAGGCGGCUUUGUAAGUCAGUGGUGAAAUAUGGCAGCUCAACUGUCAGGGUGCCAUUGAUACUGCGGAGCUUGAGUACAGAUGAGGUAGGCGGAAUUGACGGUGUAGCGGUGAAAUGCUUAGAUAUCGUCAAGAACACCGAUAGCGAAGGCAGCUUACUAGGCUGUAACUGACGCUGAGGCACGAAAGCGUGGGGAGCGAACAGG